rnacentral:rRNA from 1 species
GAUGAACGCUAGCGGCAGGCUUAACACAUGCAAGUCGAGGGGUAGGGGAAGCUUGCUUCUCUGAGACCGGCGCACGGGUGCGUAACGCGUAUGCAAUCUACCUUUCACAAAGGGAUAGCCCAGAGAAAUUUGGAUUAAUACCUCAUAGUAUAAUUGAAUGGCAUCAUUUAAUUAUUAAAGAUUUAUCGGUGAAAGAUGAGCAUGCGUCCCAUUAGCUAGUUGGUAUGGUAACGGCAUACCAAGGCAACGAUGGGUAGGGGUCCUGAGAGGGAGAUCCCCCACACUGGUACUGAGACACGGACCAGACUCCUACGGGAGGCAGCAGUGAGGAAUAUUGGACAAUGGGCGCAAGCCUGAUCCAGCCAUGCCGCGUGCAGGAUGACGGUCCUAUGGAUUGUAAACUGCUUUUAUACAGGAAGAAACCCCUCUACGUGUAGAGACUUGACGGUACUGUAAGAAUAAGGAUCGGCUAACUCCGUGCCAGCAGCCGCGGUAAUACGGAGGAUCCAAGCGUUAUCCGGAAUCAUUGGGUUUAAAGGGUCCGUAGGCGGUCAGAUAAGUCAGUGGUGAAAGCCCAUCGCUCAACGGUGGAACGGCCAUUGAUACUGUCUGACUUGAAUUAUUAGGAAGUAACUAGAGUAUGUAGUGUAGCGGUGAAAUGCUUAGAGAUUACAUGGAAUACCAAUUGCGAAGGCAGGUUACUACUAAUAUAUUGACGCUGAUGGACGAAAGCGUGGGUAGCGAACAGGAUUAGAUACCCUGGUAGUCCACGCCGUAAACGAUGGAUACUAGCUGUUGGGCGCAAGUUCAGUGGCUAAGCGAAAGUGAUAAGUAUCCCACCUGGGGAGUACGAACGCAAGUUUGAAACUCAAAGGAAUUGACGGGGGCCCGCACAAGCGGUGGAGCAUGUGGUUUAAUUCGAUGAUACGCGAGGAACCUUACCAAGGCUUAAAUGUAGUUUGACCGGUUGGAAACAG